ACGAACGCUGGCGGCGUGCUUAACACAUGCAAGUCGAGCGGUAAGGCCCUUUCGGGGGUACGACGAGCGGCGAACGGGUGAGUAACACGUGGGUGACCUGCCCUCAGCUCUGGGAUAAGCCUGGGAAACCGGGUCUAAUACUGGAUAUGACUCCAUGGCGCAUGUUGUGGGGUGGAAAGCCUUGUGCGGCUGAGGAUGGGCCCGCGGCCUAUCAGCUUGUUGGUGGGGCGANGGCCUACCAAGGCGACGACGGGUAGCCGGCCUGAGAGGGCGACCGGCCACACUGGGACUGAGACACGGCCCAGACUCCUACGGGAGGCAGCAGUGGGGAAUCUUGCGCAAUGGGCGAAAGCCUGACGCAGCGACGCCGCGUGAGGGAUGACGGCCU
rnacentral:rRNA from 1 species